rnacentral:rRNA from 1 species
AUACGUAGGGAGCGAGCGUUGUCCGGAUUUACUGGGUGUAAAGGGUGCGUAGGCGGCUAACCAAGUCAGGCGUGAAAUGCAGAGGCUUAACUUCUGAACUGCGCUAGAAACUGGAUGGCUUGAGUGAAGCAGAGGUAGGCGGAAUUCCCGGUGUAGCGGUGAAAUGCGUAGAGAUCGGGAGGAACACCAGUGGCGAAGGCGGCCUACUGGGCUUUAACUGACGCUGAGGCACGAAAGCGUGGGUAGCAAACAGGAUUAGAUACCCUGGUAGUCCACGCUGUAAACGAUGAUUACUAGGUGUGUGGAGAUUGACCCUCUACGUGCCGGAGUUAAAACAAUAAGUAAUCCACCUGGGGAGUACGACCGCAAGGUUGAAACUCAAAGGAAUUGACGGG